UAUUUAUGGUUGGAGCUCUUCAUCACCCCAAUCAUGAAAGAACUACUUGAUGGUUCACGUUUGCUCGUUCAUGAAUACAUGUAGGUGCACCAAUGGUUGCGUGUGCAUGCCUUCGGUGAGCAUGAACGUAGAGCCAAGAUUCUUGUUAUCUUUUUGGAUUGGGGUGAAGGGAGCUCCUCCCAUAAGUGCC
rnacentral:pre_miRNA from 11 species